rnacentral:misc_RNA from 1 species
AAGUCGUAACAAGGUUUCCGUAGGUGAACCUGCGGAAGGAUCAUUAACACGUAUCCAACGUUAAACCCCCCGUGCAUCUUUAGAGAGCUCUUGUAAGCCCAUUAUGAUAGCAAUCCUGGUAAAUCAGUGGCGAAAGUAGUCUUUGAUUCAGGACCUCUGUCUGGUGAGAACCUAGCGGUAAGCGAGCAAUUGCUGGCCGGGCGAAUGAAAGUGUCGCUGGACGGUUUCUAGGGUAAGGCUUCGCCAUCACUGGAGGCUCAACACGGGCCGGUGGACAGACUGCAGGGUCCCCAUGCCCCUUUAUGACGACCAAGUUAAAUAAGGCCUCUACCACAUAGCAAGUGCGCCGUGGUAGAGGAAAACGUACAACUGUUAACAAUGGAUAUCUUGGUUCUC